rnacentral:lncRNA from 1 species
CGCCAGGGGCCGGUCACAUUUCAGGCCGCCUUUCCCCACCCCCGCCAGAUCUGUCAGUUUCACACACCCCUGAUGUGCGGUUUGCCUGUUUGCAAAAGGGGGUGAAAUUCAUUCCCUCGCUGUUUCUCCUUCCCUCCCUCCCUUUCCCUCUUCGCAACCCGGAAGAGCUCCGCUCUCUACAGUGAGCAGGAGAAGGCGGAGGGGAGGGGGCUCCCAGGAAGAACGUACAUCGCCCAGGUUUUACCUCUCGCUGGAAGCCCGCCUGAGAUGCGGUGAGCAGUUCCAGCGGCCAGGACGGCAGCGGCGGCCACAGUGGCGAACUCUGCCUGUCAUUUCUGCCUUCAGAUCUCCGGGCGAGUCAGGAAAAAAAAUAAAAAACAGCUGGCCCUCGGGAGCGAGCUGCCCAGGAAAGAGCUGGUAGAAGUAGGGAUGUGAAGAAAAACCCAACGGAAGAAUGAGAGCCCGUGGGAAUGCUUGGAAAGGGCCGGAGACACGUUUCCCACUGCAAGGAGGGCAGAGGAUUGGGGAAAACAACCCCUGUGCCCAGGAGCCUUCUUCUAAAGGUGGCUUCAGUGUCAAUUUCAUGUUUAUUUUCCUCUGUUUAAAGGUGUGUGUUGAGGCUCAUUGUCUCUGCAUAUAAUUAAAGAAACAGCU